rnacentral:tRNA from 1 species
CCGUAAACUGCAACUCUGUCGAGGUCCCAACCGGCCUCCGGAGCCGUGUGCGCAGGUUCGAAUCCUGCCGGGG